AUUGAACGCUGGCGGCAUGCUUUACACAUGCAAGUCGAACGGCAGCGGGGAGGUGCUUGCUUCUCUGCCGGCGAGUGGCGAACGGGUGAGUAAUACAUCGGAACGUGUCGAGAAGAGGGGGAUAACCACCCGAAAGGGUGGCUAAUACCGCAUAAAUUCUGAGGAAGAAAGCUGGGGACCUAGGAAUAGGCCUAGCGCUUUUUGAGCGGCCGAUGUCGGAUUAGCUAGUUGGUGAGGUAAAGGCUCACCAAGGCGAAGAUCUGUAGCGGGUCUGAGAGGAUGAUCCGCCACACUGGGACUGAGACACGGCCCAGACUCCUACGGGAGGCAGCAGUGGGGAAUUUUGGACAAUGGGGGCAACCCUGAUCCAGCCAUGCCGCGUGUAUGAAGAAGGCCUUAGGGUUGUAAAGUACUUUUGUUAGGGAAGAAAAGUCAGCUGUGAAUAAUGGCUGAUACUGACGGUACCUAAAGAAUAAGCACCGGCUAACUACGUG
rnacentral:rRNA from 1 species